UACGUAGGGCGCGAGCGUUGUCCGGAAUUAUUGGGCGUAAAGAGCUCGUAGGCGGCCUGUUGCGUCCGCUGUGAAAUCCCAGGGCUCACCCCUGGGCGUGCAGUGGAUACGGGCAGGCUGGAGGCAGGCAGGGGAGAACGGAAUUCCCGGUGUAGCGGUGAAAUGUGUAGAUAUAUGGAAGAACAUCAAUAACGGCGAAGGCAGUUAACUAUUCUGUUACUGACGUUGAGGCACGAAAGCGUGGGGAGCAAAAAGG
rnacentral:rRNA from 1 species